AGCGAACGCUGGCGGCAGGCCUAACACAUGCAAGUCGAACGAAGUCUUCGGACUUAGUGGCGGACGGGUGAGUAACACGUGGGAACGUGCCUUUAGGUUCGGAAUAACUCGGGGAAACUUGUGCUAAUACCGAAUGUGCCCUUCGGGGGAAAGAUUUAUCGCCUUUAGAGCGGCCCGCGUCUGAUUAGCUAGUUGGUGAGGUAAAGGCUCACCAAGGCUACGAUCAGUAGCUGGUCUGAGAGGAUGACCAGCCACAUUGGGACUGAGACACGGCCCACACUCCUACGGGAGGCAGCAGUGGGGAAUCUUGCGCAAUGGGCGAAAGCCUGACGCAGCCAUGCUGCGUGGAUGAUGAAGGUCUUAGGAUUGUAAAAUCCUUUCACCGGUGAAGAUAAUGACUGUAGCCGGAGAAGAAGCCCCGGCUAACUUCGUGCCAGCCGCCGCAGUAAAAC
rnacentral:rRNA from 1 species